rnacentral:rRNA from 1 species
GACGAACGCUGGCGGCGUGCUUAACACAUGCAAGUCGAACGAGGACGUGAGGGAGCUUGCUCUCUUGCUAUCCUAGUGGCGGACGGGUGAGUAACGCGUGAACAAUCUAUCCCGAAGUGGGGAAUAACACGGUGAAAGUCGUGCUAAUACCGCAUGAGACCACGGUGCUGCAUGGUACUGGGGUAAAAGGAUUUAUUCGCUUUGGGGUGAGUUCGCGUCUGAUUAGCUAGUUGGUGGGGUAACGGCUCACCAAGGCGACGAUCAGUAGCCGGCCUGAGAGGGCGAUCGGCCACACUGGAACUGAGAAACGGUCCAGACUCCUACGGGAGGCAGCAGUGGGGAAUAUUGGGCAAUGGGGGAAACCCUGACCCAGCAACGCCGCGUGAGGGAAGAAGGCUUUCGGGUCGUAAACCUCUGUCCCAUGUGAAGAGAAGAAGACGGUAGCAUGGGAGGAAGCCCCGGCUAACUACGUGC